rnacentral:rRNA from 1 species
AGCGAACGUUAGCGGCGGGCUUAACACAUGCAAGUCGAGCGAGAAAGUGGCUUCGGCCAUCAGUAAAGCGGCGGACGGGUGAGUAACACGUAGGUAAUCUUCCUUCGAGCGGGGGACAACGUUCCGAAAGGGACGCUAAUACCGCAUACGUUUCUCGGGACUCUGGUCCUGGGAAGGAAAGCUAGGUCGCAAGAUCCGGCACUCGAUGAGGAGCCUGCGUAGCAUCAGCUAGUUGGGGGGUAAUGGCCUACCAAGGCGAAGACGCUUAGCUGGUCUGAGAGGAUGAUCAGCCACACUGAAACUGAGACACGGUUCAGACUCCUACGGGAGGCAGCAGUGGGGAAUAUUGGACAAUGGGCGCAAGCCUGAUCCAGCCACGCCGCGUGAGUGAUGAAGGCCUCGGUCGUAAG